rnacentral:lncRNA from 1 species
ACAUGAGGAUUGGGUACUUGAGACGUUGACUACGCUUGCUUGCCAUUUGUGUUCAUUCGCACAUGCUUGUGAGGGUCGCUCCCUACAAGCCGGCACUUCGGAGUUAGCCUACGCGACUUAUGUUCGCUCGUGCGGUAUUGAGAAGCCUACGGGGUCGAGUGGGACAGACACAUUCCAAGAGUAGGGAUGUUGGGCUACC